UCCUCACAGAGUCUAGAGGGCCAGAAA
rnacentral:piRNA from 1 species